rnacentral:lncRNA from 1 species
GAGAAAAAUACGUCUACAACUGAAUUUUGGUUUGGUGCAGUAAAAAAGAACUAUGAAAGUAUGGGAACGGGCAACAGACAUGAACACUCUGCUAGUGCAGCUGUGAGUGACCAAUGAUUUUCACACCAAUAUAUACUUUUCUGUCCUGGAAAUGAAACAAAACUACUUUCAUUUUUUUAUAUUUUUACUUAUUCAAAUAUUGUGACUAAUGAAUCACCUUAUGGCUAUAGCCCAUUCGUUGGCUAGCCGCCCUCAUGAUGUGAAACAAAUAACAAUUUGGCCGGCAAAGUGAGCCAAGUAUCCAGACGCCUGCAUUAGUUAUUCGCCGCCUACGCUAUUCCUGCAUGUAUAAAUAUAUAUUGUUUUUAAAUGCCUAUCGCCGUAUAAAAUUAUGUUCUCUCAACUGUUUAAGGCUGCAUAGCUGGUUUAAUAGUUUAAAGUGGAAGUCAAGUCCGUAUGUAAACAAACGGUUUAUUUACAUUGUGAACUGCUGUAUUUUUUAAAAUAUGAUGUACUAUCUGAAUAUCUAAUACCGUUUUGGUUCGCUAUGCUUCUAAAUGAAUAUGAAAUAAAGUUUAUGUUCAGAAAAAUUCGAAACAUUUAUGAGCAGAACCGAUACGCAUAACGGACUUGACUUCCACUUUAAUAGUUUAAUAAACAGGAACAGACAUUUUUAAAAGCGUUUUGUUAUAUAGGGACGAACAAAAAUCAACAUUCAACAACAUUCAUACAACAAUUGUAUUUCGUGAC